rnacentral:rRNA from 1 species
CGUUGAUUACGUCCCUGCCCUUUGUACACACCGCCCGUCGCUACUACCGAUUGAAUGGCUCAGUGAGGCUUUCGUACUGGCCUAGGGAGAGUGGCAACACUCCCCCAGCGCCGGAAAGUUGUCCACACUUGGUCAUUUAGAGGAAGUAAAAGUCGUAACAAGG